rnacentral:lncRNA from 1 species
AUUUAAAAACUCUGUCCUUCCUAAUGCUUUUGCUUUUGUAUAAUAAAUUGCAAUUUCAUACUUUUCCCCCUGUGAGUCAAUCACUCUCCAUUCCCCCAGAAAACUUCUUUUAAGUUUAGUCUCCAGCUUCUUCAGAAUUCUCAAGUUUGCCACUACAUCAAAUCUUAGGGAAGAAGAAGGAGAUUAUAAUAUUUUAAGAAUAGAACAUCAUUUUAAGCAUAUGUAAAGCAGAAUCAAAUAAUCCUUAGCUCCCCUUGGAGAAAUAAGUACAAGAGACCAUCAUGCAAAAUAGGCAGUCUCUCUGUACCCCUGCCUCACACCUUUCUUUUUUUCUUCCCCUUUUUUUCUUCUUUUUAGAGGUCUUGUACUUCAAUGUGUCUGGGUAGAUCCCAACAUGCAGCGAUAAUCUGCAUUGAAAGAGAAAAGGAUAAUCCCAAGAAUGAAAGCUGGAAUAUUUUCCCCAGCAGUAACAGUUUCUGUGAACAUGCCUUGUUCUGCUUCUUCCAUGUAGAAUAACAAAGGCAAGCAACUGAAGAAUGACUUCUCCAUCUGAAAUAUCACCUGUGCUUCCAGCAGGUGUUGCCUUGCUCAGGAACAGCUCUUCAGUUAAAGAACAUUUUUCAGGGCAUACCAUAGCUUUCCUACUUGGAGAGGAGGUCUGGUUUGGAGCUCGUGGGAACACAGGAGUGCGUUCCCAGUGA